rnacentral:rRNA from 1 species
ACUUAAAAAUGAAUUUUAGUUCAACUAAAAGCAUAUAUACCACUAAAAAGGUUAAAUAAAGCUUUUAUUAUAAUUAAUUAGGGUACAGCCCAACUAAUACAGGAUACAACCUUAAUAAAUGAGUAAAGAUUAUAAUAUAUAAAAUUAACACUGUAGGCCUAAGAGCAGCCAUCAAAAAAGCGUCAAAGCUUAACUUUUAAGUAUUACUCGUAUUAAAAUAAUCUUAUCCUCUUUCCUAAUAUUAAGUAAGUCUAUAAAAUAGAAAAUUUACUGUUAAAAUGAGUAACAAGGCCUCUUCCUCUGUAAUGCAAGUGUAAGUCAAUCUCCUUAACCAUUAAAAUUCUCUUCCACAAGAAAUUAAAUAUAAUAAAACGUCGACCCGACACAGGAGCAUUUAAGAAAGAUUUAAAGUUUGAAAAGGAACUCGGCAAAAGGGGCCUCGCCUGUUUACCAAAAACAUCGCCUCCUGUUUAAUUAAUUUAGGAGGUACUGCCUGCCCAGUGACACCCGUUUAACGGCCGCGGUAUAAUGACCGUGCAAAGGUAGCAUAAUCACUUGUCUUUUAAAUAAGGACUUGUAUGAAUGGCAAGACGAAAACCCAACUGUCUCCUCAAACUUAUCAGUGAAAUUGAUAUCCCCGUGCAAAAGCGGAGAUAAAUUUAUAAGACGAGAAGACCCUAUGGAGCUUAAAACCUAAAUUAAUAUUUAUGUAGUCUAAUUUAAAGCUUUAAGCUUUAGGUUGGGGCGACCACGGGGAACAAUAAAUCCCCCGAGAUAUAUAAUUAAGAAAAAUACUUCAAAGUAACACCAUAGUUGAUAUAAUUGACCCAAUAAUUGAUCAACAAACCAAGUUACCCUAGGGAUAACAGCGCAAUCCUCUCAUAGAGUCCAUAUCGACGAGCGGGUUUACGACCUCGAUGUUGGAUCAGGACUACCAAGUGGCGCAGCAGCUACUAAAGGUUUGUUUGUUCAACAAUUAAAAUCCU